rnacentral:rRNA from 1 species
UACGUAGGGUGCAAGCGUUGUCCGGAAUUAUUGGGCGUAAAGAGCUUGUAGGCGGUUUGUCGCGUCUGCUGUGAAAUUUCGGGGCUCAACCCCGAACUUGCAGUGGGUACGGGCAGACUAGAGUGUGGUAGGGGGAGACUGGAAUUCCUGGUGUAGCGGUGAAAUGCGCAGAUAUCGGGAGGAACACCUGUGGCGAAGGCGGCUUUC